GUACGGCGGUCAUUAUUGUCGGUUGCUGGGUUGCGUGAGUCACCGUUCUCAACGUGCACCGUCGUGCGCUUCGCGCUUCGCACCCGCGUCCUGCUUGCGGGUGUGCCCGCGGGCCGCGAGAUAACGAUGGCGAAUAAUCGGCCCCACCGUCCGGCAGGUCGAGCGCCUUCAAUAACGCGCGGAGAAGCCAUAUAUUACGUGGAGGCCCAGCUGAAUGCGGCCCACUAUGCAAUGAGUAACGCGGAGGAAACAGUGAACAUGCAGCGCGCCGUCCUUUAUUACCUGCGUUCCCUACGCGCUGAAGGUGCCGCCCCCUUGCUGGCUGCCGACCCCGACCCUGGCGCCCCUGGCCCUCACGGGGGUGCUCCGCGGCCCGGUGGCGCCCGCAGCCUGGGUGUGCGUCCCUCGCCGGUGGCUCAGGCCGGAGCCGCCGCAGCCGCAGGUGGUCGUGUGCGAGGCGGUGCCGGUCCCGGUGCUGCAGAUGGUCGUCGUGCACGCCGUGGGCCGGCCGGUUUCGUAGCGUCCACGCCUGCCGGGGCCUCUGCAGAAGCCGAAAUGUUGGGCUUCGGCCGGGGCGCAACUGGCCGGCACCUCCACUGUCUGCACUAUUUCUACUGGUAGCAUGGUAGUAGCUACCAAAGCGGCGCGCCCGGUCUUUUGGGGUAGCACUGAGUUAUGAAGUUACGCGGUUCCCCUCCAUUUUUCUGAUACGAUUUUAGUUUCAAUAAAUUUGAUGUCUCUGCUGUC